rnacentral:tRNA from 1 species
GCCGAGAUGGCAGAGUGGUUAACGCGCGGGCCUUGAGAGCCCGUGGACCUUAUGGUCCGCAUGGGUUCGAAUCCCAUUCUCGGCGCCA